UGGCAGCCGUGAGGGCCUGGAGCGUCCGGGCCACGGGAAACUGCCCCGGCCGGGUGAAAGGCAGCUGCUGGAGCUGCCCGUGCCGGGCUGAGCUUUCCGGGAGCGGGGCUCCGCUGGUGUGUCCGGAGAAGGGCGGGAGAGCUGGCGUAGGGUCUGCAGCACAGGUCCUGGGAGGGAGCUGGGCGUGUUCAGCCCGGAGAGAAGGAAGCUCAGCGGGGCCUUGUCCCUCUCCAGAACUCCCUGAGAGGGGGCUGCGGCCGUGGGGUGCCACCUAACCAGCGUCAGGACAAGAGGACGUAGCCUUUAUUUGGGCCGUUAGGAGGAAUUUCUUCGCAUUAGACAUUGGAAUGGGCUUCCCAGAGGCGUGGUGGUGUUACCACCCCUGCGGGUGUUUAGGAAAAGACUGGACGUGUCACUCGGUGCAGUAUUGUAAUUGACAGUCUGGUGUUCACUCAAAGGUUGGACUGGAUGAUAUCAAAGGUCUUUUCCAACCUAAUUGAUUCCGAGAUUCCGUGACUCCUGGGGUCCCUACACCACGCCCCCAGCCCCUAUUCCCACCUAUUGUGAAAAUCGCCGCUGGGUCCAAAGGCAGGGAAGGCCCCUUGGCCCCUGUGCCGCUCAGCCUGCUCUGUACCGAGAGUAAUCUUCUCCUUCACACCAACUUCCAUGGACUAAAUGAAUAAAUACAAGGGCUUUUCUGCAGCUCUACAGAUGUUCUUGGCUUCACUUGUGCCCCCGUGGAGGUGAAUGGAUUUACCCCUGGAGCACAGCAGGUGCUUGACUUAGAACAGGAAUGAUGAGGGGCUGCUGUGACAAGAGACACGUCACAGCCUCGCUGUGCUUGUUAUCUGACACAGCUUCACCAGGACGGAGCAGUUCACAGGGGUACAGAGGCGUCUGACUGCAGUCAAACAGCAUCUAUGUCUGUUCAUAUGGAAAAUGGAAUUCCAGCUAAGCCAUACAGAGAAUGUCUUGUGUGCAGCCCCUGGUCAAGGACUGGAAAUGGAAUUCCAGCUAAGCCAUACAGAGAAUAUCUUGUGUGCAGCUCCUGGUCAAGGACUGAGAGCAGUUCACAGGGGUACAGAGGCGUCUGACUGCAGUCAAACAGCAUCUAUGUCUGUUCAUAUGGAAAAUGGAAUUCCAGCUAAGCCAUACAGAGAAUGUCUUGUGUGCAGCCCCUGGUCAAGGACUGGCUUUUCUCUUGUGGUACACUCUUGUGCUUCAUGGGAACCAAAGAAAGGUGCUGGUGAUACAAUGGAUCCCACUGAAAAAGAAAUUGUGCCACUGACUGAUAUGAGCACGACCUGUCUUCUUACACUUGUUGAUUCUGAAGGCCCGAAGGCAGAGAAACAAUCAGCAUUAUCAUACACGGUGGGAAAGUUCACCUAAAAAGUAACAUUUCAGUAUUUGGAUGAAAACAUCAUGCUGCAAACUGGGAGAUUAUUUUCUGGGAACACUGUAGCAAGCUGUAUACAUUGAGGGCUAAAGCAAUGCUCAGAAGGGCUUAAAAAUGUUCUGUUGAAAAAAUGAGCAUGAAAAUGGCCCCAACAGAAAAUUGGUGUGGGUCCAAUAAUCUUUGUGUAUUUAGUCCAUCCAAGGCCUGGUGAACUAGGUUCAGAAUGAUAACAUUCUGCAGAGGAAGACAGGAAAACUGGGCAAUGUCUAAAAUUAGUAUUUAAGAGAUAUAUGGCCUAGUCAGAAUACUAAUAGCUGCCAAAUGAACAUUUAACAUAUGGAUAAAGUAAUGACCAGUUAGAGAGCUCCCAUUAGAGAUAUAAUAGGAAAUGUAAAUUAAUAUGAGAGUGGAUACUAUGCUAUAGGAGUGAAUAAAUGUACCAAAGGAGAGCCAGAGCCUCGAUCCAAACUGCUGGAUCAUCCAAGCGAACCAGCAUUAAGGCCCCUACGUGCAGCAUUUCCACUGAACUGCUGGAUCAUCCAAGCGAACCAGCAUUAGGGCCCCUACGUGCAGCAUUUCCAUCAACCAUCCUGAAGGCAGUGGCAGAGCAAUCCUGCAAAGCUGAGCAGAUCCAGAGUCCUGCAGGAGGCACUUUGGGGCCACUGGAUGAGCACCGGGGCUCAGCUGUGGUGUGGGAGCAGUGGCACACCAGGACAGAGUCGGUUGGAGGUGCAGAUUUUAAAGAAAGGAUCAAAACAUCAGGUGCUGGAGAAAUAGAGAGGAUAGGAAUGGAAGUUGGCUGUUCCAAGUCUUGGUGGUCUUAAAAACAUUUGAGAAGUUCUGUGUCAAAGAGGGAAGGGCAAACUGGUGCCACCUUCACAAUGUAGUGCAGGGUCAGGGCCUGUGUUUGUGGACACUGAAUUAUGGGUAGCAAAACUGGGCAGUUUUGUGAGAGAAGGCAAAGUUUAACAAGAAGACAAUUUGUAUGAAAAUGGCAAUAAGCAGCUCUUUUCAUUGUUUACAGUGGAAAACAGUUUGGUUUUUUUUUAUACUGUUUAUUCAUUUUUGAAGACAAUUUGUAUGAAAAUGGCAAUAAGCAGCUCUUUUCAUUGUUUACAGUGGAAAACAGUUUGGUUUUUUUUUAUACUGUUUAUUCAUUUUUUUUUCCUUGAAUACAGUGAAAAAGGUAAAUAUGAAAUUAAGGUAUCUUAAAUAAUUCAAAAUUUCGUAAUUUAAAUAUCAAUUUUAUUUAUAAAAAUUUAAAAUGCAGAUCUAUAUUCAUAUUAUUUCCUCAGUUUCUACCUCAUUAAAUAAGAAAGCAACAGAACAUUGAGGACAGUUUCACAGGUUAAGAAAAAAUACAUUUGUCAUAUAUGUGAAAUUACCUUUUUAAAUGUAUAAUAUCUGUAGCUAUUAAACAAAAUUGAUGUAUUACACCAAUAACAGAGCAAUAUAAUAUUCUAAAAUGUGUUUAUAAAUUAUUUAUAUUUAAUAAAAAUUGAUUUCAGCCAUCAUUAUUCUUCUCGAACCUUGUGGCAAGCUGUGCAUUUUACACAGUCCUGCUGAUUUUGAUAAAGCCUGCGCCGUGCACGUUUCCGCUGCUGGAAAUUCGAAUGCAAACUCACAGCCCCUGUACAUUAACCAUGAAGUCUCUCCUCCUGUCCAUUCCUAUCACAUGGAGGAGCUGCUCCGAUCCUUUUCCCAAGGCUCCUGCGGUACCAAGGAGCUGCUCCGAUCCUUUUCCCAAGGCUCCCGCGAUACCGUCCUUUUCCCAAGGCUCCUGCGGUACCACUGGUGAGAUGUCACCUUUUAUUAGCACAUCCACUCUGAGAUACACUAACAUGCAUUGAAAACAUAAAAUGCACAUCAUCCAUCUUUCAUGUGACAGCUGCAUCCCACCUACUGAACUUUCAAGCUCGUGGCACACCUGGGUCAAGGUUCCGUUAAUAAAAUGAUGCUGAGUGACAGAAGAGUGGGAGUUAACUGCCUGCAAGCAUUUGAUAAACUGUUACCUGUAAUUUCUUUGGUUUGUUGCCUUGGGCAAAUGUGCUAAAGAGGAAACAAGUAACUGCAAGCCCCAUUUGUCCAGGUGGGUGAGUGGAGAUGAAGAUGAAAAGCAAUAAACUCGUGUUACUCAGAGCUUUAUGAUUUUCAUCCACUUUGUCAGGGAGCUAUCUUUUGCUCCAUCAAAUAUUGUGAUAGCUAAACUAUUCAAAGAAGGAGAAGACAAAUGUUUCUGUACUUUUGGUAUGUCUGUUGAUACGAUUGCAUGAUUCUAUUGUUUCAUAAGUAACGAAUGCACAUUGUUUCAGUUUAAACACUAAGGUUUUAGUUGUGUCUAGAUAUCAUCACUUUUAUUGUAAAUAAAUAAUAUAUUAAACACAUAAUUUGAGAUAAUUGCUCAAAUAAUAUAUACACAUUAUUAAGUGACACUUAUGACAACACUCAUGUUUUAGUAUUUUGAUAUACUCUUGUCUCAUUCUUGAUUUGUUGCAGCAUUACAAACUUUUAGAAGAGAGUUUUGUAGAUCCUUUCAAGUCAGACUUAUUUUAAAUCAAUUAAAUUUUGGAAAACACUGUUCCACUAUAGUGGUAUUAUAAGACAGUUCGGUCUGGUGACAUAAAUGAAUGGAGCAUUUUCCCAAGAUCUAAUUACAGUUCCAAAGCACUGGGUGUGAUUAUGUACACCAUGUGGGACUGAUGCAUGUUACAAUCGCUGCAUGUGGUUACCAUGUUGUACCUGAGUUCUGCAGUGAGUGCUGCUGCUCACUACAUCCACAGGCAAAGGAGGCAAGGGAGAAAGGAAAAGAGAUUUUCAGAGUUUCCACAAUAACCCCACAGACCUGAUUUUUCAUAUGCAGCAGAAGACUUGGGAAAAAAAGGCAGGAAUGUUCAACUUAGGCUCCUCUCCAGGAUCAGUAUCAUAUGGAAGAGAUAAAAAUACAAGCUGAAAAAGUCAGCAGUUGAUCCAGACUGCAACUGUGUUCUGCUCCUGGAACUAUUCCUGGCUCAGAGAGAGAAAGAUGAAGAAAAGAGAAGUGUCCCAACUCAGAGAUGAGUCAAUGCAGAGUGGAGUGGAAUGCCACACUGGCUCUCUGGGAGCUUGCCACAGCCCAGGUGUUUGUAGGGGUUGAUAGUAGUGCUUGCACAAACCUCUUGAGACCUCUGCCACUGGCUGCUGGAAACAGAAGUGACUUUAAAUCUCAGUCAUUCUGUAUCUGAAUGAACUAAGAUGUAUCUGAAUGAACUAAGACGUAUUCCACAAAGUACUUGGUAGAGAAGAAAACUUUAAGUAGGAAAUUACUCUUCUUGAAAGAACAGAAUUCCUGUUCAGCCUACAAUGUCCUCAGUAAAAAAUAGAAAUUGAAAGCACAAACAGAAUGAAAGUCAAUGUGACCUCAAUAGAGAAUAACAGAGUUAUAAAAAAAAAAAAAAAAAAUUUAAAAAAAAAAAAAAAAAAAAAAAAGAAAAAGAAAAAAGAGCAGAGUUUAACCAUGUGCUCAAACAUAAAGUACAUAAAAGCAAUUCCAUUGACUUCACCAGCACCACUGACGUACUCUGACUGCUGGGAACUCGACCUCAGGAGGCUGUGUACAACCUUCUUAUCAUCAAUCGUCUCUGCAAGGACAGAACAUAAUUAAAUGGGAUCACAUCUAGCAGAGGAAAGCAUAAUGGUAAUCUGCAGUAGUAGUAAAAAGAUUCCCCGGUUAUAAAAUUCCUUAAAUAAUAGCUUCUCUUCUUCCCAGAAAAACAACAUCCUGGCAUUAGAAACGUUCAAGCCAGGUGACCAUAAGAAGAGGCAAACAUGCAUUUUCUUGUUUUGGUUCUUCCCUCAUCACUGCACACAUCUACAUCUGUGCUUGGGUUUUUAUUUUAAGAAUGCAAAGGGUAGAAGGCGAGUGGUUUAUUCCAACAUGCUGUGCCACUAUAGAGCUGAACUGGGGCUGGUUGGGCCGGGAAGUAAUUGGUUACUAAAACCAAUAAAAGAUGGGAGUAUCUUUAAAAGACAUCUAACGUGCUGAUUGUUAAAUUAGGCUGAAAUACAUUAUUAAGAAAGCUUUCAAGUGUCAGAAAUGAAAGAAUGUCUUACAUUCUCCACCAAGGAAAUCUAGAUCUCACCAGAGGGGACAUCCACUGUCAUUAUUCUGCUAUUUUAUCUGUUUUGUCUUUUAUGACAAUUUUGUUGCCAGACCGGGGGGCCCCCCCCCCCCCCCCCCCCCCCCCCCCCCCCCCCCCCCC
rnacentral:lncRNA from 1 species